CUGGUUUUCCCACUGCGGUGUCUUCUGUGGCUUCAGCGUUGCCUAGUGCAGGCUGCCAUUCAACAAACGCAUUGUCAACAGUCAACCAAAAGAAACCCAUUGGCCACCAUGCCCUGAGGACUAACCCUGACACAAAUGCCCUUCCAGAUGCCCUCAAUAGUCUGUUUCCAUCACCCCAGCCUCGGAAGAGAAGCACUGCUGCCUAUGCACUCCAUUUACAGGUGAACUGUCACCCCUACAACUCAGCUUGCAACCAGCCCUGGCCACCACCAGUUUCCCCACACUGAGCUGAAUAUUGGACAUGCCCAUCUUAGACAUUCCAGCCCAUUCUGAAAUUCCACAUCGAUUCACCCGACAAAGUCUGAAGUUCCAGGGCAAUUUAUCUGGAAAAGCUCACCUGGAAUCAUGUGUCAUUUCAACCAACAACUGUCGAAGAGGACGUGGCAUCAAAACCAAGGUUAUCAAUUAUUUAUAAGGGUUGUGUGGUGGUUGGUCCAAGCAUCUCUCCUUCAUGCCAUCACUCCUUUCAAGAGCUGCCUCUAUUUUCUAAUUUAGCACAGGAAUUUAGAUGCCCCUAAAUAAGUAGGCAUCCAGUAUCUGCCCACACCAGUUUUAGUGAGAGUACAUAUGGAGACACUACCACCACCCCUGCUCUCCUACUGCAUACCCCACCAUGCCAAAGCAUGGUGGCUCACACCUGUAAUCCCAGUGCUUUGGGAGGCCAAAGAGGAGGAACACUUGAGGCCAGAAGUAUGAGACCAGCCUGGGCAACAUAGUGAGACCUCAUUUCUAUAAAUAAGUUAAAAAAACAAAAAAAUAGGGCAUAGUGGUGCACAUGUGUGGUCCCAGUUACUCAGCAGGCUGAGGCUGGAAGAUCACUUGAGCCCAGGAGUUUGAGGCUGCAGUGAGCUAGGAUUAUGCCACUGCACUCUAGCCUGGGCAACAGAGAGAGACCCCAUCUCUAAAAAGAGGGAGAAGAAGGAAGGAGGAGGAAGAAGAGGAAGAGGAGGAGGAGAAAUACUGCUCUUUCUCAGGCCCAAGGUAAAAAGGUUUUUGGUCUCAUGUUGACCAGAAAGACAUUGAUAUUUAAUUAAGCAAUAUAAAAAGGCUCAUUGUUAGGAUUAAAGAGUAAGUAAAAUCAAUAUUGAGAUAGGAGGAUGGAGGACACCAACUGAGUUCCGAUCCCAAUGAAGAGGAGAAAAAGCUACAACUAUCUAGGUGAAAUAUCUACUUAUCCUAGAAGAAGCCUUUUGACAGCAACAUAAAAUUCAUACCUAUAGGUUUUUAAUUCCUAUGGAUGCCGUAGCAAAUAACAAAAACUUGGAUGGCGUAAAGUAACAGAUGUUUACUCUUUUCCAGUAUUGGAGACCAGGAAUCUGAGAUCAAGGUGUGGGCAGGGGUGCGCUCCCCCUGGAGGUUCUAGGAGAGGAUCCUUCCUGCCUCUUCCAGCUCCUGGUGGCUCCAGGUGUCCCUGGGCUUGUGGCCACAUCACUACAUUCUCUGCCUCCAUCUCCACGUGACCUUUUCCUCUGUGUCUGUGUCUCCUCUUCUGUCUCUUAGAAGGACACUGGUCAUUGGAUUUAAAGGCCACCUGGGUAAUUUAUAGUGAUCUAAUCUCAAGAAUCUUUCCUUAAUUACAUGCAAAUACUCUUUAUCCAAAUUAGUUUGCAUUCACAAAUUCUGGAGCUUAGUACUUGGACAUAUAUUUUGGGGGGUUGAUGGUUGGAGGGGCUUUUAUUCAACUCAGUACAUCUUAAUAAGGAAUUAAUGCCCCCCAACUUGCCUUACAAGUCAUAUAUUAAAAACAAUGUUGGCCUGGCACAGUGGCUCAUGCCUGUAAUCUCAACACUUUGGGAAGCCAAGGGAGGAGGAUCACUUGAGCCCAGGAGUUGGAGACCAGCCUGGAUAACAAAGGGAGACCCAGUUUCUACAAAAUAUUUAAAAAUUAGCCAGGCAUGAUGGUGCAUGCCUGUGGUCCUAGCUAUUCAGGAAACUGAGGUGGGAGGAUCACUUGAGCCUGGAAGUUCAAGACAGCAGUGAGCUAUGCUCACACCACUGCACUCCAUCCUGGGCAACAGAGCUGGACUCUGUCUCAAAAAACAUAACACUAAAACAUCAAAAUUAAAAAAAAAAAACACUGAAAGUAGCCUCCACUUACAAACUAAUUACUCUUUCUUGAAAAUAUUACACUUUUUUUCUUCUAUAUCUCUACUCCUAGCUCUCAACACCUUUCUUAAGCCCACAUCAUAACCUGUCUUGCAUAACUUUGUGAGUGCCCAACGUUUCACUGUACAAGAUUGUAGAGCUGCAUGCUUCUUAAGAAUAAAUCCACACUUUAGGUACCAGUAAAUCCAUGCAAUGCCUCAGACGUUAUAACCAAAUAAUGCCUGGAAAAUCGACAUGAAUUUAUGUGAAGCAUAAGCCUUUAAUUUUUUUAAAGAAAAGUAGAUUGCUGUUUUUCCACAUCAUUUCAGAGCCGUUCUCUAGUUUUGCAUGCCCUUUACUGCAGAACCAUACAGAUUUUGUUCUCCAUUUCAUACAUCAUUUGUUGAAAUGCCCUUUAAAAUGUAACGGAAUAUAGAGCUUUAUGGGAAAAAAUGCUGUAGAAAAUAAAUUAUCUUCUCUCUUUGUA